AAUACUUUGCAAACGUAUGUAGCUUGGAACAUGCACGAAGCACAGGAAGGACAGUAUGAUUUCAAUGGCAACAAUGAUUUGGUUAGUUUUAUUCAGAUGGCACAAUCAUCAGGACUCUUGGUCAUAGUUAGAGCAGGUGAGUCAAUAUUCCACUCUGGGGAUUAUAUAACAACUAUGGAUGAUUUAGGAAGUUCAUUAAAAAGGAUUUUAUACCUUCAAAAUGAACCUGUUAGUCUUUCAGCCAGUAAAAUUAACCCGAAGUUGGCUCAUAUCCCUGAAUGAUUAUUACUAGUAGUUCUCUCCCCCCCCCCCAGGGGGGAGGGGGGUUCCCUCAGAAAAAUUGGGUGGGGGUGUGCAGCCAGUUUCCCUUAACCCCAUUUUUGAACGAAAUCUGUGAUUUCCCUACUCUAUAAAUGACCUGACUAAAAAGUCAAUACCUUAUUUAUGGCCAUUGCGGCUGACACAGUUGCCCUAAACCCUCCGGGCUUUUAUCACCUAUUGCAGAAUAAUUUCCUUCAUUCCUUGAAAGUCAGUCAUUAGUAAUGCACAAUCUAUUAAUAAAUAUUUAAGAAACAGAAAACAUGUGCUGUGUUUCUAUCGAGUUAUAGAAACA